rnacentral:rRNA from 1 species
GUACGGGAGGCAGCAGUGAGGAAUAUUGCACAAUGCCCGAAAGGGUGAUGCAGCGACGCCGCGUGAAGGAUGAAGGCCCUAUGGGUCGUAAACUUCUUUUGAGAGGGAAGAACGUAUCGCUACAGGCGAUAUUGACUGUACCUCUAGAAAAAGCAUCGGCUAACUACGUGCCAGCAGCCGCGGUAAUACGUAGGAUGCGAGCGUUGUCCGGAAUCACUGGGUGUAAAGGGAGCGCAGGCGGUUCGGCAAGUCAUUGGUGAAAUUCUCAGGCUUAACCUGGGGGCUGCCAAUGAUACUGCUGAUCUUGAGUGUGGAAGAGGUAGAUGGAAUUCCUGGUGUAGCGGUGAAAUGCGUAGAUAUCAGGAAGAACACCGAUGGCGAAGGCAGUCUACUGGUCCAUUACUGACGCUCAUGCUCGAAAGCGUGGGGAUCAAACAGGAUUAGAUACCCCAGUAGUCC